GGAGAGGUAGCGCAGUUGGCCUAACGCGCCCGCUUGGAAAGCGGGUAUACCGCAAGGUAUCGUGGGUUCGAAUCCCACUCUCUCCGCCA
rnacentral:tRNA from 4 species